GGGAAGCGGGCCCUAAGAAUAAGCUUCCCACUCUGAAAAGAGGUAAGGGCAGUUCGAGAACAGGACGUAGAUAGGCUGCAGGUGUAAGUGCUGAGAAGCAUUGAGCCGAGCGGUACUAAUAGCCCGAGGCUUUG
rnacentral:rRNA from 1 species